AUGUACGAAACAAAUAUAAGCUAUAAUGUUUUAGUUAUGUAAAAUAAUUGUGGCAGGUGAUAUUUAGGGAGUAAAGUGAAUUAAGGGUGUGUGGUUAGCUAUGUAUAAAGAUCAGCGGUAGGAACGAGAACGGCAGGUGCGUUUGUUUCUGGCCCGGCGGAAAUAGACCGAUACUUUUACUGUUUGUUUGCGAGAGGUUCGCAGGUGGAUUUUCUUGGAUCUCGGAGAUAGGUAUGAGUUUUGUUUUUUUUAAUCUUAAAAUGUUUUAAUAUGUGGUGUGUGUUUUAGGAAGAAUAAUAAAGGUGUUUUAAUGCAUGUGUUUCAGCUCUAUGAAGCCUAUUGUUUCAUAGGCGAGGGGUUUGCAUAUGCCGUCUUUUGGAUCUUUGACAUAGGUAGGAGUUUGUUUGAAGCACUAAAAUGUUUUAAUAGGUGGUGUUUGUCUUGAUAUACUGUAAAUAAUAAAGGUAUUUUAAUGUGUGUGUUUCAGCUCUACGGAGCCCAUUUGUUGCUCUUGUUGUAUUUGGGUUUCAGUUUAUUUUUUGGUUUUGGUUUAUUGUCUAGUCCGCCCGGAUACUUGAAUUGGUAAGUGGGCCGAAAGAAAUGGGAACGACCCUUUAGGCGGACUAGUUUUCUUUUGUUUAUUUAUAUUUUUGUUUGUUCCCCCCAUUGCUUAUAUAUACUUCACAAGAUGCUAUAUGCUUAGUGUUUAAGCAGAGUUGAGCUUUUUUUGCAUGUAAUUUACUUUUGAUGAAUUGUGUGAACCACGAAGGUUUAUUAUAAUGGGUUUUUGUGUGAUUUUUGCUGUUUUUGUAUGGUUUGAUGCUCAACUCUUGCUUGGUUAACUUAUGUUUAAGGUGUCCUGCGUAAUAAAAAAAAAACUCUGUAAAGCCAUCAAUACAUUUUCGGGAUUUAUUUAAACGAACCUGAGUUGUGUUGAUGUUUAUUUAAAGGUGGACCAUGUUACAUUAUUUUG